UACGUAUGGUGCAAGCGUUAUCCGGGUUUACUGGGUGUAAAGGGUGCGUAGGUGGCGUGGCAAGUCAGAAGUGAAAACUCCGGGCUCAACCCGGAGACUGCUUUUGAAACUGCCGUGCUCGAGUGCAGGAGAGGAAAGCGGAAUUCCUAGUGUAGCGGUGAAAUGCGUAGAUAUUAGGAGGGACACCAGUGGCGAAGGCGGCUUUCUGGACUGUUACUGACACUGAUGCACGAAAGCGUGGGGAGCAAAC
rnacentral:rRNA from 1 species